rnacentral:lncRNA from 1 species
AAAAAUAAGAAUAUUUAAAAAUUUAAAAAAAAAAAACUACAAAGUGACACAUGACACUUUCUUUAACUGUUUUAGUACGAAACUAAUGUAAAAAAAAUCUAAUUGCUUUAAUUUUCAAAAGUAAAGACGAAGAAAGAAAAAAGAGGAGGAAUAAAAAGUCAAAAAAAAGAAUCAAAUAUAUGAUUAAACCAUGGGUGUUGCUCCCUACACCUCCCCAAGUGGGACCUGUACCUCUC